UGGGGAAUAUUGCACAAUGGGCGCAAGCCUGAUGCAGCCAUGCCGCGUGUGUGAAGAAGGCCUUCGGGUUGUAAAGCACUUUCAGCGAGGAGGAAGGUGGUGAGCUUAAUACGCUCAUCAAUUGACGUUACUCGCAGAAGAAGCACCGGCUAACUCCGUGCCAGCAGCCGCGGUAAUACGGAGGGUGCAAGCGUUAAUCGGAAUUACUGGGCGUAAAGCGCAGGCAGGCGGUUUGUUAAGUCAGAUGUGAAAUCCCCGGGCUCAACCUGGGAACUGCAUUUGAAACUGGCAAGCUAGAGUCUCGUAGAGGGGGGUAGAAUUCCAGGUGUAGCGGUGAAAUGCGUAGAGAUCUGGAGGAAUACCGGUGGCGAAGGCGGCCCCCUGGACGAAGACUGACGCUCAGGUGCGAAAGCGUGGGGAGCAAACA
rnacentral:rRNA from 1 species